rnacentral:rRNA from 1 species
CCGCGAAACUGCGAAUGGCUCAUUAUAUAAGUUAUAGUUUAUUUGAUAGCACCUUACUACAUGGAUAACUGUGGUAAUUCUAGAGCUAAAACAUGCUAAAAAUCCCGACUUCGGAAGGGAUGUGUUUAUUAGAUUAAAAACCAAUGCCCUUCGGGGCUGCUUGGUGAUUCAUAAUAACCUCUCGAAUCGCACGGCCUUGCGCCGGCGAUGGUUCAUUCAAAUUUCUUCCCUAUCAACUUUCGAUGCGAAGGUAUUGUCUUCGCAUGGUUACAACGGGUAACGGAGGGUUAGGGCUCGACCCCGGAGAAGGAGCCUGAGAAACGGCUACUACAUCCAAGGAAGGCAGCAGGCGCGCAAAUUACCCAAUCCCGACACGGGGAGGUAGUGACAAUAAAUACUGAUACAGGGCUCUUUUGGGUCUUGUAAUUGGAAUGAGUACAAUUUAAAUCCCUUAACGAGGAACAAUUGGAGGGCAAGUCUGGUGCCAGCAGCCGCGGUAAUUCCAGCUCCAAUAGCGUAUAUUAAAGUUGUUGUGGUUAAAAAGCUCGUAGUUGAACCUUGGGCCUGGCUGGCCGGUCCCCCUCACCGGGUGCACUGGUCCGGCCGGGCCUUUCCCUCUGUGGAACCGCAUGCCCUUCACUGGGUGUGCCGGGGAAACAGGACUUUUACUUUGAAAAAAUUAGAGUGCUCCAGGCAGGCCUAUGCUCGAAUACAUUAGCAUGGAAUAAUAGAAUAGGACGUGUGGUUCUAUUUUGUUGGUUUCUAGGACCGCCGUAAUGAUUAAUAGGGACAGUCGGGGGCAUCAGUAUUCAAUUGUCAGAGGUGAAAUUCUUGGAUCUAUUGAAGACUAACUACUGCGAAAGCAUUUGCCAAGGAUGUUUUCAUUGAUAAGGAACGAAAGUUAGGGGAUCGAAGACGAUCAGAUACCGUCGUAGUCUUAACUAUAAACUAUGCCGACUAGGGAUCGGACGGUGUUUAUACUUGACCCGUUCGGCACCUUUCGAGAAAUCAAAGUGCUUGGGCUCCAGGGGGAGUAUGGUCGCAAGGCUGAAACUUAAAGAAAUUGACGGAAGGGCACCACCAGGGGUGGAGCCUGCGGCUUAAUUUGACUCAACACGGGGAAACUCACCAGGUCCAGACACAAUGAGGAUUGACAGAUUGAGAGCUCUUUCUUGAUUUUGUGGGUGGUGGUGCAUGGCCGUUCUUAGUUGGUGGAGUGAUUUGUCAGC